rnacentral:lncRNA from 12 species
CUUCUUUCUGCCUCAGCAGACAUAAGGUGACACUCCUAGUUACACAAUGAUGGUUUGGACAACAGAAACCAGGUCUUCCCCUGUCACAGGACAACCACGUCCCUCUUGUCAUUGGGGAUGGCUGCUUUCAGAGACAUUUGUGGGGAAUCAGAACACAACCGCAGAUCUACUUUACCUCUAUUCCUCAGCUAAUGGGUAUGACAAUGUCACCGAACAAGAGUCCCAUCAGUUUUUCCCAAGACUCAUCUGGAGUCCUUGAAGGUAAGGGAAGAUGCUGGAGUUGAUGACUUUGCUUCCUUUUAGGUAACAGAUGAAUUUCAAUGCUGUUUUGAACAUGAGACAGAAAAGUCCCUGAGUUUGGAAGUGUUUUAUCCUCUCCAUUUUGAUGGUCUUCAUCACAACGGGAGUUAGUAUUAACACAACGGUCACAUGGGCAUGUUAUUAUCAUAAAAAGAAGAAGAAGAAGAAGAAGAAGAAGAAGAAGAAGAAGAAGAAGAAGAAGAAGAAGAAGAAGAAAGAAGAAGAAAGAAGAAGAAGAAGAAGAGGAGGAGGAGGAGGAGGAGAAGAAGAAGAAGAAGAAGAAGAAGAAGAAGAAGAAGAAGAAGAAGAAGAAGAAGAAGAAGAAGAAGAAGAGUUGGAGAAACAGGAAAUAUGUUCUAAUCUAAUUUCUGAAUGGUGAAUGGAUCUUUUCUUCCCUCUCAAAUCAAUCUAUGUUCAUAAUCUUGAGGAGCCUGAGUGGGUCGAGCUUCCCAAGUAACUCCCUUCCUCCCCCUGCACACACAUAAAUGUUCGUGAAACUCCAAAAAUUGUAUUCUUAGAAGCUUCUAGAAUGUAAGCUGUUGAAGGGUAAGUGGUAUGCUGCCCAUCUUUGUCAAGGAAAAUACAGGAUGGAAUAACUAUGGGUCUGGAAAACAGUCUCAGUUUGUAACCUGGGCAGAUAUGUGGCUGUUUAGAAUCUUUUAUUGCAAAACAAGUAGGUCAUGCAAGAUACGUGAUGACCCAGACUCAUUUAGGGUAAACAACCUGGCAUGUGGCCUCCUCAGAAUCCCCCGAAUAGAUCCUUUCUACCGCACACUGUGUCAUGUCAGGAAUCUACUGUGGGCUGGGGAUCCCUGAGUGGCUCAGUGGUUUAGUGCCUGCCUUCCACCCAGGGCGUGAUCCUGGAAUCCCGGGAUUGAAUCCCACAUGGGGCUCCCUACAUGGGGCCUGCUUCUCCCUCUGCCUGUGUCUCUGCCUCUCUCUCUCUCUCUCUCUAUGUGUGUGUGUGUGUCUCUCAUGAAUAAAUAAAUAAAAUCUUAAAAAAAAAAAGAAUCU